rnacentral:lncRNA from 1 species
UCAAAGAAAGAGAGGGAACUCUCAUCGAUCCGAAGCUGAAACUCCCAUCGGUACAAAGUUGAGGAAUUUGGGGAUUUGAAUGAUCCGUUCUCCAGUAUUUGUAUCGAUUCAAAGUAAUGUCAUGCCUCAAAUCAUAGAUAAUUCGUAGAAUUUGGGACGAGUAAGAAUUUGACCUAGGUUUACAAAUUGGGGAUUUCCAAAUUUGCAACAGUUGCUUAUGUUUGUUUUCUCUUCAACAGACUUGCAUUUGUUGUUUGUUACCGGUGGACAAGUUGCAUCCCUGACUAAUCCCUUAUCUCCCGCCGACUGCCGGCCAUCAGGUCAGUUUUUCUCUGAAUUUUUUCUUUUUUACUUUAGUCUAAGCCUUUGCUUCUCUGAAAUUUUUACGGAAUUCAUUUUUCUUAUUUGAUCUUGUUCGACUCCUUUCCUAAUCUCAACAAUCUGAAAUUUAGUUGCUGUUUGUGACGGUGCAUAAGGUCUCAGUUUCAACCAUCGCUAUAUGCUUUGAAAACGAGCUCAGCUUGCCUGUUUUGUUGUAAUGAAUUAUAAAAUAUAAAUGAUUGUAGGAGGAAUACUAAAUAGAGUUCUGAUCACAUAUCCUCCUAGGUAUGAAAAGCCUAGUAAAUUAAAAAAAUAAAAAAUUAAAUAGUGGGUUCCUCUGUUUCUAUGGUUACUUGUUAAACGGUGAGGUCUUUUCUAUACACUCGAGCCUUUACUAUAUACUUUAAUUUUAUAUUAAUCAACUAAUUGAUGUUAAUGGGAACUUGUAUUGUUCACACUCAUUGGCUCUACCCAUGAAUUAUCCAGUAAUUUUUAUUUAGGCAACUGAUUAUAGUUGUGAAAUAUCUCAAGUUGUCAGAUAUGUUCUAAUGAACCCUUUAUGCUAACAUGUCAGAACUUGAGUUUUCUAAUUUAAAUUGAGCGUGUAUAGAAAAAGACUUUCACAGGAAAAUAUGGAAGUUUUGCCAGAAUUUUUACAGGAAAUUAUCUCCCCUUUUCUAAAGUUAACCAUGAUUUUUUGGCCAUUCUUUUUCUUCCAUCGCUGGCAAAUCAUUACCAUGCGUUUCUACCGGUGAAAAUCUUCUCAAAUACCACUUCCGAUUUUGGAGGAUCCCAGCCUCUCAACUACAAAACUUCAAUCUUUUCCUUCGCCAUCUCCAACACCAUCUGUCUCUACUCCUUUGCAGUUUGCACCACUCAUGCACCACUCCUUCUCAAGACUUCGAUCAGGAGUGUGUGAACUCCUAUGUUGGUGGAGUUCUUUUUACUUUUUGCUGUUUUGUUUUUUGAUUUGUCUUUUUCCACCUCAUCCGAGAGUUGCUAAAAAAAUUUGUAUUUCUUGCUAGCUGUUUUUGAGGGGUUUACUUGGAAUAAUUUUGGACUACUUAAAGUAUUCAAUUUCUCACCCCAAGUUUCGGUGAUCUAAAUAAGAAUUUUUGGUUAGUCUAGAGGGUCGUCGAUGUAUUCUUCUCUUUGAAAAGUUUCCUGUUUUUACAGCACCGGAACAGUGCUUUGACAUCACAUGGGAUGAGAGGAAGGAACAAUGUGAGGCAAGCAACCAUUUCUUUCUUUAAUGGGUUUUUAGAAAGCGAUUAGAGCCAAAGCCAAUGAUAAAAAAAUUACAUAAAUACUCAUGUAGAGACCGCUAGUACAUCAUAGUAAUUAAGCAAUAAAUAAAUUAUGGAAGUUGAUCACAUAAAAACACAAAUAUCCUAUUAAAUUGUUAGGUUUUUAAUUUGCAUGAAUGAAUGAUCAAAUAAGCAUGCAAAUACACUAAUUUAUGGAAUUUCAAUAAUUAGUCAUCAAAGAGGGGGUCUUUUUCACGUUUCACGCUAAUUUCAGUGCUUUGUUGAUCACUUGAUGAUGUAUCAUAAUUGGUGGAAGUGUACAUUAGUACACUAUAAAGGUCCUCCUGUUCACUGAUCAUUUCUCCCAUUUGUAGUUGAUUGUUUUCUUGAUCAUGAUGAGCCCAAGAACGACUAUUAUAUUUAGUGAAUCCUUCCAAUUGAGUUGCCACUUCUUUCAUAGUAGGUCUUUCUUCUCCAUUUGUGUUAAGACAUCUAACCACAAGCUCACCAAUGGCAGUAAGCUGCUCCAAAGAGCCUUCUUUUAAGACCCUGUGAUGGAGAAUUUGAAAUAAGUGAUUCUCCUUCACAGAAGCUUUGAAAUAUGCAGCUAAGCUCUUUUCUUUAUUGGGUAGAGUGAGAUCAAUAGCUUCUCUUCCCGUUAAUAACUCAGCAAGAACUACACCAAAACUGUAGACGUCACUCUUGUCUGACAAUCCCAUUUGUAUGCCUUCAGGGUCUAGAUAACCCAAUGUUCCUGGUAUGAGCGAACUCAUAUCAGCCUGGUCGAAAGGUCUUAGCCUUGAAGCCCCAAAAUCAGCAAUCUUUGCUGUGUAGUAGUCAUCUAGUAGUAUAUUUGCUGACUUGAUGUCUCUAUGUAGGAUAGGUGUAGAAGCUGCAUAGUGGAGAUAACUAAAGGCAUCGGCAGAUUCAACAGCAAUUCUUAACCGAUUUUGCCAAGAAAGCCAAGGCAUUCCUCCAUUGGUAUGUAUAUGGUGGUGAAGGGUACCAUGAGAUAUGUAUUC